rnacentral:rRNA from 1 species
AUUGAACGCUGGCGGCAUGCCUUACACAUGCAAGUCGAACGGCAGCACGGGUGCUUGCACCUGGUGGCGAGUGGCGAACGGGUGAGUAAUACAUCGGAACAUGUCCUGUAGUGGGGGAUAGCCCGGCGAAAGCCGGAUUAAUACCGCAUACGAUCUACGGAUGAAAGCGGGGGACCUUCGGGCCUCGCGCUAUAGGGUUGGCCGAUGGCUGAUUAGCUAGUUGGUGGGGUAAAGGCCUACCAAGGCGACGAUCAGUAGCUGGUCUGAGAGGACGACCAGCCACACUGGAGCUGAGACACGGCCCGGCCUCCUAGGGGGGGCAGCGGUGGGAAAUUUGGGAAAAGGGGCGAAAGCCUGACCGAGCAAUGCCGCGUGUGUGAAGAAGGCCUUCGGGUUGAAAGGCUCUUUUGUCGGGAAAGAAAACUUGGGCCUAAAAAGGGUGGGGGAAUGAGGGUACCGAAAAAAAAAGCCCCGGCUAAGUACGGG